rnacentral:rRNA from 1 species
CCUACGGGAGGCAGCAGUAGGGAAUUUUCCACAAUGGGCGCAAGCCUGAUGGAGCAACACCGCGUGAGUGAAGAAGGGUCUCGGCUCGUAAAGCUCUGUUGUUGGAGAAGAACGUGCGUGAGAGUAACUGUUCACGCAGUGACGGUAUCCAACCAGAAAGUCACGGCUAACUACGUGCAAGCAGCUGCGGUAAUACGUAGGUGGCAAGCAUUAUCCGGAUUUAUUGGGCGUAAAGGGAGCGCAGGCGGUUGCUUAGGUCUGAUGUGAAAGCCUGCGGCUUAACCGAAGAAGUGCAUCGGAAACCGGGCGACUUGAGUACAGAAGAGGAAGGUGGAACUCGAGGUGUAGCGGUGGAAUGCGUAGAUAUAUGGAAGAACUCCAAUUGCGAAGGCAGCUGACUAGACUGCAACUGACGCUGAGGCUCGAAAGCAUGGGUAGCGAACAGGAUUAGAUACCCCAGUAGUC